CGGGGGGGGGAAGUCUUCGGACCUCUCGCUAUUGGAUGAGCCCGCGUCGGAUUAGCUAGUUGGUAGGGUAAAAGGCCUACCAAGGCUACGAUCCGUAACUGGUCUGAGAGGAUGAUCAGUCACACUGGAACUGAGACACGGUCCAGACUCCUACGGGAGGCAGCAGUGGGGAAUAUUGGACAAUGGGGGAAACCCUGAUCCAGCCAUGCCGCGUGUGUGAAGAAGGCCUUAGGGUUGUAAAGCACUUUCAGUGGGGAGAAAGGUUUGUCACCUAAUACGUGAUGAAAUUGAUGUUACCCACAGAAGAAGCACCGGCUAACUCCGUGCCAGCAGCCGCGGUAAUACGGAGGGUGCAAGCGUUAAUCGGAAUUACUGGGCGUAAAGCGCACGUAGGUGGUUCGCUAAGUCAGCUGUGAAAUCCCCGGGCUCAACCUGGGGACUUGCAGUUGAAACUGGUGAGCUAGAGUAGGGUAGAGGGGUGUGGAAUUCCAGGUGUAGCGGUGAAAAUGCGUAGAUAUCUGGAGGAACAUCAGUG
rnacentral:rRNA from 1 species